rnacentral:ncRNA from 16 species
AGCAUGAGCCGGUGCCCGCCCGAGGCCGACGUCGCUGCCACCCCAACUUCCUCCAUGGGUGGCCAGCGGCCGAGGACGACGGUGGGCUGAGAUUAUACGGCCUCGAACUUGAUCUGGGUAAUACCAGCGAAAGGAUCAUGCAACCUAACAAA